AAUUUCUUUAUCUGCAGAUGUCAACAGUGCCUCAUCCUCUUUAUUUCCACCAGAAUUUAUAUGGUGGGCCAGGGCUUGGUGAGCGGUGGUAAUUUCCUGUGCAGUAUAUACUGCCCUACUUGUGAGGAGCAUAUUGCUGUUCAAGGGUCAACAUGCAAACACAUGGGGGCAUUACUGAAACCAAUGGAUGUUACCUGGAGAAGCCAGCCUGAAAAUAUCUGGUGCAGUGGCGUUAUGAGGAGUCUUUCAUGGAGCAUGGACUACUCAUCAUCUGUGAAGCCCAGGGCAAGGGGCAAGGAGCCAGCCAGGAAUUCUGACAAUAGAUACUCAUCCUGCCAGUGUCUCUGCAUAGCAGCCGGCUAUCCCUUAAACCUUACCCCAGACAUUGGAAGGUGAGACAGAUUUGAGAGCCUGGCUUCUUGUCUUCUUGCCGACUGACCUCGCAAUAAAGCCUUUCUUCUCUCAAAGACCAGUGUGCCAUGUCAGCUUCUGCGCACAUCGAGGGAUGAGCCCUUGCUCUGUAACACUUCCAUGUACUCCUCAACGCCAGAACUUCUAUUUUUCUCCUAUUUGACAAGAAAGCAAGAGUCUAUUUUUUUUC
rnacentral:lncRNA from 1 species